rnacentral:rRNA from 1 species
CCCGGUGGUUAUAGCGGAGAGGCCACACCUGUUCCCAUCCCGAACACAGUAGUUAAGCUCUCCCACGUCGAUGGUACUUGGGACGCCGGUCCCUGGAAGAGUAGAUCGCUGCCGGGA